UUUUUUUUUUUUCCUGGUACUGUCUGAAUUUAGAUGCCACAAUAGGAGAAUUGAAAAAGACACAUUCUAAAAUUAAAGAAUUGGGUUUGUUUUCAUGGGGACAUUUUGGCAAUGAGUUUUGCAAAAGAAAAGGACUAAGCAUUUCAGAUUCUAAUGCUUCACUGUUUAAUUGUUUUUUUUAAAUGUUCAAGAGUCUUGAACAAUUUAAAUGAUUGAGAGUUCAACUGUUUAGUUGAAAUGCCUGACAAACUGCAUUUUUACUUGAAAAUGUAAAGAAAAAAAUAGUUUCUCAUUCAUUCUAGGUUCAUUUUUAGGUACUUUGAAAGAAAGUCAAUGCUGGAAUUUCCAUGUAUUUUUUGUAGAUUUUAUAAUAUUUAUAUUUUAUUCUAUUUUUUGCUAUUUAUAUAUAUGAACAGUAUCUUUUAGAAGUUUAUGAUUAUUUUUGGUUUUUACAAUUUAAAAGGAGAAAAUAUAAGCAGUAAUUGGCUUAGCAUCACAUAAAAUCACUCAUGCUGAAAUAAUUUUUAUUGAAAAAAGAUCAUGUUAUCAUUUUUCCUUUGAAAUUAAGUUUUCUUUUACAUAAAACAAAGGAAAAGAAAUAAUUCUCAUGAUCCCUUUAUUUCUGUGGCAUUAAUUGGAAUGUGUCCUUUUUGAUCUCCACUUUAUUUACAACCUCUCUUUAUUCUUUUUUUUAAAUUGUUAUUUCCCCAACACAGUUUUUUCCCUACUGUACAGCCUGGUGACCCAGUUACACAUACAUGCACACAUUCUUUUUUCUCCCAUUAUCAGGCUCCAUCAUAAGUGACUAGUCAUGGCUCCCAGUGCUACACAGUAAGAUCUCAUUGCUACUCCAUUCCAAAGGCAAUAGUUUGCAUCUAUUAACCCCAAGUUCCCAAUCCAUCCUGUUCCCACCCACCCCUUAGCAACUACAAGUCUAUUCUCCAAGUUCAUGAGUUUCUUUUCUGUGGAAAGGUUCAUUUGUGCCAUAUAUUAGAUUCCAUAUGUAAGUGAUAUCCUAUGGUAUUUGUUUUUCCCUUGAGAGUCUCUAGUUCCAUCCGUGUUGCUGCAAAUGGCAUUAUUUCAUUCUUUUUUAUGUCUGAGUAGUACUGCAUCGUGUAUAUAUACCACAUCUUCCUAAUCCAACCAUCUGUUGAUGGACAACCUCUCUUUAUUCUUAAAGUUCUGUCAAGUUUAUUUUUUAAAAAAAACUCAAUGAUUUUUUUCUGUUUUACUUGUUCUCUUUUUUUUAUUAUUUCCAUCCUUUUGCUGAAUUUGAAUUUAAUUUGUUCUUUUUUUUCUAAUUUAUUGAUAGGUAAAACUAGGUUUCUUUGAGAGCUUUUUAAUGUAGGUAUUUAUUGCUAUAAGCUUCCCUCUUAGGACUGCUUUUGCUGCAUCCCAUAUAUUUUGGUAUAUUGUGUUUUAUUUUUAUUUGUCUGAGGAUGGUUUCUGUUUUUCUUCUUUAUUUCUUCUUAGACCACUGUUUUUUUGUUUGUUUUUUUGUUUUUUUCCAGAAUGUACCUUUUGGUCUUUGCAUAUUUUUGAAUUUCCUACUUUUCCUUCUUAUUUAUCAAUAAUUAUUGACCUCCAGUUUCAUACUACAGUAGUUGGGGAACAUACUUGAUAUGAUUUCUAUAUGAAAGAUUGUAUAUAAAUUUGUAUAACCUAGAAAAAUGAAUACAUUUCUAGAAACAUACAACAUACUUAGAAUGAACAAUGAAGAAACAGAAAUUUUGAACAGCCAAUGAAUAAGGAGAUUCGAUCAAUAAUUAAAAACCUCCCUACAGAGUAAAGCCAAGGAACACAUGGCUUCUCUGGUAACUGUUACGAAACAUAAAAAGGUGAGCACAUACCAAUCCUUCUCAAAUGCUCCCAAAAUUUUGAAGAAAAGGGAACAUUUUCAACUUAUUUUAUGAGGCCAGCAUUACCUGGAUGCUAAAAUCAGAAAAGGACACUGCAAGAAAAGACAAUUACAGUCCAAUAUCCCUUAUGAAACUUGUCACAAAAAUCCUCACACAUAUAUAGUCAAUGGACCUUCAACAAAGGGGCCAAAAAUACAGAAUGGGAAAAGAAAACUCUGGAUAUGUGCAUGCAAAAGACUGAAAUUGGACCUCUCUCUUACACCAUACACAAAGAUCAACUCAGAAUGGAUUAAGAACUUAAAUGAACCUAAAACUGUAAAACUCCUAGAAGAAAACAUAGAGAAAUAGGUUCUUGACAUUCAUUGUGACAGUGGUUUCUUGGACAUAACACCAAAACACAGACAAAUAUACAAUAGAUAGUUAUGAGUACAUUAAACUAAAAAGCUGCCCUGCACAGAAAAAAUAAAUUCAAAAGAGUGAAAGACAGCCUAAAGAAUGGGAGAAUAUUUGCAAACCAUUUAUCUGAGAAGGAGAUUAUAUCAAAAAUGCGUUAAGAAACAUAUACAACUCAAAAACAACCUAAAAAGAAAAGCAAAAAUGAAUAACUUGAUUAAAAAUGGGCAAGGUACUUGAACAGAUAAAUUGUCAACAAUUAUAUUAAAGAGUGCUCAAAUAAAUUCUGGAGAUCUAUAUAAUAGCUAUAGUUAAGGACAUGGUAUUACACACUAAAAAUUUUGUUAGAAAGUAGAUCUCAUGUUAGGCAUUCUAACCAUACACACAUAUAAUAAAAAGGACACAAAGCCUUAUUUGGGAGUAAUGAAUAUGUUAUUUUCUUUGUGGUGACAGUAUUAUAGAUGUAUACAUAUGCCCAAACUCAUUACAUGGUACAUAUUAAACAUUUACACAGGUUUUGUGACUCAAUUAUGCCUUAGUACAACUAUGAAGAAGAUAAAGUAUGAUCUGUGAACAACAUGAGCAUUUGCCUUAUAUCAUCUUAGGUUUUUAUUGAAAAGUUAAAAGUCUAUAAAAUCUAGAAAUACUCUUAGAAUGUCCUAAUUGAAACUCUACUUUAAAAUAAUCCAAAGAAAUACUUUGUUAUCAGAGAUGAGAUGAAACUUCUUUUGCCUAUCUAAUGUUAAACGAUAAUUUUAUUGCACACAGACUCCCAUUUUGUUCCUCUGCCCAGGUUAGUGACUAAAUAGUUCAGAAAUAAAACCUUGCCCAUCAUUCUAUCCGGGAAGUAUUCCAAAUUCCUAAUAAAGGGGUAUGAGAUAAGAUUUUUGAUGUCAUUUUCUUUUGAUGAUAUCUCAAAAAAAGAUCAGAUUUUGAAGAUGCUCUCUUCAAUGGACUGAGCUAGAAAGGAGAUGCUGUGAAGUCUGCAGGAAAAGGACCUUUUAUAACUUCUCUAAAAUGACUUUGAACACAAAGUUGCCUGAAACUCAAAAGUGACAUGAAGGAUUCAUGUUGUUAUUUAAUUGCAAAGUCACAUUUUUAGUGUAUUAUUCACAGUUAGUGGGAUAUGAUAAAAAGUAAGUUAUAUUUUAAGCUGAAAUAUCCCAUUUCAGGCAGCAAAGGCUAGUUAGGAACUAGAACCUAAUAAUAGAGUAUCUCCUAAUUUUCCUUAAUUUUUUUCCUAGGAUUAUCAAUUAACUUUACUAAUACUUAGAAAAGAAUAAAAUACUUUUUUUAGUAAUAUGGUUAAUCAUUCAAAAGUAUUAAAUAUUCCAUUUUUUACUACUUAAUAAUUUAAAGGAUACAUUUAUUUCUAGUUUUUGUAAUGUCAGAUUCUAAUUGUGGCUAUUCAUCUUAAAACUCAAAAAAUAAAUUACACAUUAUAGUCUCUAAUAUUGUUAUCUUUUAUUGAAAAACAUUUUUAUUCUGUACUAAAAAUAAUAAUUUGAAAAUUUAUUUAAUAUACAUUGUAUUCUAAUAGACAUGAAUUAGAAUCAGAGAGCUUUUACUACAUAUAAUAAAUAAGAUUAAAGGCCAGGGGGAAAAUAUACCACUGACCUAUACAUAUACACUAUAUAUGUGUGUAUAUGUAUAUAUAUUUAAUAUUGAAGCAAAUAUCUUGCCAUAUGAUAAUUUUUAAAAAUUAUUUAGAUCAUGACUGUAAAACUUCUUGGUCUUAGACUUUUAGAGAUAGCUUUGGAAUUACCUGAAACAUGCUUUAAUUCAUUCCAAAGGUAUCAAAGGAGAAAGAAAAAGGUAAUGUGUGAGAUUGAUUUUAAAAAGCAAUUCAUGGGGAAAAAACAAAAAUGUGUUUUCUCUGUUAUCUCUCUGACUAAUCCAUGUAUUAGUCUAUAACAACGAUGACAGAAUACCUGUAACUUUAUAAGACAAUUAUUUAUAAUUUGAAGUAUGUUAUAUACAAAUUUUUCAGAGAGAUGUAGAUAUAUAUCACUUAAUAUCUUUUAAACAAUCUUAAAAUUUAUGUGGAAUCAUGAAAGUUCCACAACGAUCUUAAGAAAAGCAAACACAAAGUCAUCACACUUCCUAAGUGCAAAAUGUAUUACAAAAUACAGUGAUGAAAACACCGCUGGGCUGGUGUAAAACAGACAUAUAAACUGAAGGAAGCGGAUGCAGAUUCCUGAAAUAAACUCAUGCAUGUGUGGUCAACUGACCCUCGACAGCAGCCCCAGGAGUACACGAUGGGACCGGUUCUUCAACAGUGGCGCUGGGUAACUGGAUGUUCAAAUGCAAGACAGUGAGACUGGAACCCCGUCUUACACUUGGCACAAGGUCACCUCAAAAGAGAGGAAGGCCUUCCACAUGAGGGAGCUGUAAACUUCUGGGAGAAAACACAGCAGAAACCAUUCUUGACACCGGUCUUGGUAACGGAUGCUUGGCGAUGACACCAAAAGCGCAGGUAAAGAAAGCUCACACAGACGAGUGGGACUCAUAAAACUAAAAACCUUCUACAUAGCGAAGGAAACAAUCUAAAGAGGGAAAAGAUGACCUAUGCAAUGGGAAGAAAUAUUUGCAAGGCGUCUGUGUAAUAAGGAGUUAGUACAGCAUUAUUUAAGAAAUAUCCAUAACUUAAAAUAUUUUUUAAAAGAUUUAAAAAUGGACGAAGGAGUUGAACAGACAUUUCUCCAAAGAUACACCAAUUCCCGAUAGGCGUAUGAAAAGGUGUACAACCUCACUACUCAUGAAGAAAAUGAAAAUAAAAAUACAAUGAAACAGGGGUUCCCCCAUGGCUCAGUGGGUUAAGAACCUGACUGCAGCAGCUCGGGUUUCUGUGGAGGUGUGGGUUCCCUCCCCCAACCCAGCACAGUGGGCUGAAGGACCGGCUUUGCCACAGCUGUGGGAUAGGUGGCGGCUGUGGCUCCAAUUCAGUCCCUGGCCCAGGAACUUCCAUGUAGUGCGGGUGCCUCCGUAAAAAGAAAAAACGAAAACAAAAAAGCACAGUGAAACAGCAUCGCGUAUCUGUAAGAAUGGCUGCUGUUAGAAAGUCAGACGUGAC
rnacentral:lncRNA from 1 species